rnacentral:rRNA from 1 species
UGCCAGCAGCCGCGGUAAUACAGAGGGUGCAAGCGUUGUUCGGAAUCACUGGGCGUAAAGCGCGUGUAGGCGGCAUCGUAAGUCGGAUGUGAAAGCCCUCGGCUCAACCGAGGAACUGCAUCUGAUACUGCGGAGCUAGAGUAUCGGAGGGGGUGGCGGAAUUCCCGGUGUAGAGGUGAAAUUCGUAGAGAUCGGGAGGAACACCUGUGGCGAAGGCGGCCACCUGGACGAUUACUGACGCUGAGACGCGAAAGCGUGGGGAGCAAACAGGAUUAGAUA